rnacentral:rRNA from 1 species
UACGUAGGGACCAAGCGUUGUCCGGAAUCAUUGGGCGUAAAGGGUGCGUAGGCGGGUCUUUAAGUCAGAGGUGAAAUCCUGGAGCUCAACUCCAGAACUGCCUUUGAUACUGAAGAUCUUGAGUUCGGGAGAGGUGAGUGGAACUGCGAGUGUAGAGGUGAAAUUCGUAGAUAUUCGCAAGAACACCAGUGGCGAAGGCGGCUCACUGGCCCGAUACUGACGCUGAGGCACGAAAGCGUGGGGAGCAAACAGG